rnacentral:piRNA from 1 species
UGCACUGAAUGAAGGAGACGGGGGG